rnacentral:ncRNA from 1 species
AGCUAAAUAUAUUUAGUUCGAUGAUUAUGCAGUAUCCAUUCUGCGUAGACCUAGAACGUCAAUAUAUAUAUAAGGAGAAACAAAAAUG